CAUGCAGUCGAGCGGAACGACACUAACAAUCCUUCGGGUGCGUUAUUGGGCGUCGAGCGGCGGACGGGUGAGUAAUGCUUGGGAAUAUGCCUUUACGUGGGGGACAACAGUUGGAAACGACUGCUAAUACCGCAUAAUGUCUUCGGACCAAAGGAGGGGAUGCUUCGGCACCUUUCGCGUAAAGAUUAGCCCAAGUGGGAUUAGCUAGUUGGUGGGGUAAUGGCCUACCAAGGCGACGAUCUCUAGCUGGUUUGAGAGGAUGAUCAGCCACACUGGGACUGAGACACGGCCCAGACUCCUACGGGAGGCAGCAGUGGGGAAUAUUGCACAAUGGGGGGAACCCUGAUGCAGCCAUGCCGCGUGUGUGAAGAAGGCCUUCGGGUUGUAAAGCACUUUCAGUUGUGAGGAAGGUUCAGUAGUUAAUACCUGCUGGAUUUGACGUUAGCAACAGAAGAAGCACCGGCUAACUCCGUGCCAGCAGCCGCGGUAAUACGGAGGGUGCGAGCGUUAAUCGGAAUUACUGGGCGUAAAGCGUACGCAGGCGGCUUGUUAAGCGAGAUGUGAAAGCCCCGGGCUUAACCUGGGAACGGCAUUUCGAACUGGCAAGCUAGAGUGUGUGAGAGGGUGGUAGAAUUUCAGGUGUAGCGGUGAAAUGCGUAGAGAUCUGAAGGAAUACCAGUGGCGAAGGCGGCCACCUGGCA
rnacentral:rRNA from 1 species